CAUCUCCUGAGCCCCGGCCACCCCACCAAUCCACCCCACCGUUGGCCUUCGAGGUGUCCCUAGUCCCUACACUGCUGGUUUAGUCACCUCUUACUGAGAGGCAAAGAAUACUGAUCCAUCCUAUUUAGAGGCUCAGGUGUCUGAAAGUUUAGGCUGUCUCUCACCUUCUCAUGGGCCCUUUGGUGAUAUAAAAUGGGGAUAAAUCAACCACUGGGAGUAGAUAACUUAAUUUUCUUUCCUUCUUGAAAAUGGGAGGAGGAGGUGGUUAAGGACGGAGCCAACAGAUGAAAGGAUCUAUUUUCGACAUAGCUGCAAUGUGUUAAGUGCUCGUUUUGUGCUGUCCUUUCUGUGCCUUGAGACCUUAAUCCUCACUGCAGGCGUGAGAGGCGUGCAUCAUUAUUCUCACUUGACAGAUGAGGUCACACGACUGGUAAAUGGCAAUGCUGGGAACCCACUAGGGGGAUCUGACGUUCCAACCCUGUCCCCGUCACCCAGAAUGUACAGCUGAUACAACUGGACAGAAGAGUAAAUGCCGCCAGAGGUAAGCAGCCCGAACUGGUGUGACAGCUCCCUGACCAUCCAGGACCCGGGCUCCUUCCAACGUGGCUCUCCAUCCUUACUCGUGCCGUUCACUCACGACCGAAGGCGGCUGCUCCCGGAGGAAGAAACAAAGAAGAGAGUCACUUCUCUCAAAGGAUACUUGCUGGAUUUCAGCUGUAUGCAUCACGCAGUUUUAUCCUCCCAAGAGAAACAGCCAGCGGAUUGCGGCACUCCAAAAUGCGGCCCUCAAUCUACCCCUGGUGCCUGCCCCAGCGUGAAAGCGAUUUCCUCAGCUCCUCUGGAGGGAAGUGCAAGCGGUGGGCAGG